rnacentral:rRNA from 1 species
UGGGGAAUAUUGCGCAAUGGGCGAAAGCCUGACGCAGCGACGCCGCGUGAGGGAUGAAGGUUCUCGGAUCGUAAACCUCUGUCAGAAGGGAAGAAAUUAUAUCAUGCUAAUCAGUGGUGUAUUGACGGUACCUUCAAAGGAAGCACCGGCUAACUCCGUGCCAGCAGCCGCGGUAAUACGGAGGGUGCGAGCGUUAAUCGGAAUUACUGGGCGUAAAGCGCACGUAGGCUGUAUGACAAGUCAAGGGUGAAAUGCCACGGCUCAACCGUGGAACUGCCUUUGAAACUGUCAAACUGGAGUAUGUGAGAGGGCGGCGGAAUUCCUGGUGUAGGAGUGAAAUCCGUAGAUAUCAGGAGGAACAUCAGUGGCGAAGGCGGCCGCCUGGCACAAAACUGACGCUGAGGUGCGAAAGCGUGGGUAGCAAACA